GGUAAAAAUAAAGUAUACAAGUGACAUGAUGACGUUAAAUUUACUAUUUAUUUUUAAGUCUGUCACGUUUUCGAUAACAUCAUUAUACUUUCAUGCUCAUUUAUAAUUUACAAUAAGUCAAGGGUGAAAAAAAAAUCACGAAAGAGGAAUCAAAGUGACUGCAUUUGACAGGUAUUUCUACAUCUGCCGGGUGUGUGUUGAGAACAGAGUAAACAGGCGCGGCUUUAUAUGGAAACUGGUGCGCAGUUAUAUUUAUGUCUUAUUUGGUAUAUGUAUAUGGAUAUAUAAACAUAAAUGUAGACAAGAAUUAAGAGAACACGGAGCGCCACUGUACCUUAGAGGGUUCCUAAAUAUACCAGACGAUGCAGAGAGAAAACAAGGACAUGGGACGAAAAAAAAAAAAAAAAAAGAAAAAGAAAAAUUAACUGAAAAUACCGUCUACGGCUUUUACUCAAGAGAUUUAUUAUGAGAAUUAAUCAUUUAUGGUGAUACUGAGAUAUAACUAUAUUCUUAUUGUGCUUGCACGGUAAAUGGAAACGUUGUCCACGUUUUUCUUCGAAACAAAUGAACAUUUUUUAAAAAUAAAAACGCAAAUCGCCAGAUUAUAGAAUAAUGCAU